AACGAGCGCUGGCGGCGUGCCUAACACAUGCAAGUCGAACGGAGAUAAGGGGCUUGCUCCUUAUCUUAGUGGCGCACGGGUGAGUAACGCGUAGAUAAUCUGCCUGAUGAUCCGGGAUAACACUUCGAAAGGGGUGCUAAUACCGGAUAAGCCCACGGGGUCUUCGGACUCUGCGGGAAAAGGGGGGGACCUUCGGGCCUUCUGUCAUCAGAUGAGUCUGCGUACCAUUAGCUAGUUGGUAGGGUAAAGGCCUACCAAGGCGACGAUGGUUAGCUGGUCUGAGAGGAUGAUCAGCCACACUGGAACUGAGACACGGUCCAGACUCCUACGGGAGGCAGCAGUGGGGAAUUUUGCGCAAUGGGCGAAAGCCCGACGCAGCAACGCCGCGUGAGUGAUGAAGGCUCUUGGGUCGUAAAGCUCUGACAGAGGGAAAGAAGUGUGCGGAUGCUAAUACCAUCUGUACUUGACGGUACCCUCAAAGGAAGCACCGGCUAACUCCGUGCCAGCCGCCGCCGUAAAAC
rnacentral:rRNA from 1 species